rnacentral:rRNA from 1 species
AACGAACGCUGGCGGCAGGCCUAACACAUGCAAGUCGAACGGGAUCUUCGGAUCUAGUGGCGGACGGCUGAGUAACGCGUGGGAACAUGCCCCAAAGUGAGGAAUAACUGCCCGAAAGGGUAGCUAAUGCCGCAUAUGAUCUUCGGAUUAAAGGAUUUAUCCGCUUUGGGAGUGGCCCGCGUACGAUUAGAUAGUUGGUG